rnacentral:rRNA from 1 species
AACGAACGCUGGCGGCAGGCCUAAUACAUGCAAGUCGAACGCUGCAUUCGGGGUGAGCGGCAGACGGGUGAGUAACGCGUGGGAAUCUACCCGUCGCUACGGGGUCGCGUCGGGAAAGUGGAAUUAAUGACGUAUACGCUCUGAGGGCGAAAGAUUUAUCGGGGAAGGAUGAGUGCGCGUUGGGUUCGCUAGUUGGUGGGGUAAAGGGCUCUCAAGGCGACGCGCCAGAGCUGGUCGAAGGGGAUGAUCAGCCACAUUGGGACUGAGACACGGCCCAAACUCCCGCGGAUGGCCGCAGGUGGGACUAUUGGACACUGGGCGCAAGCCUGAGCCAGCCAUGCCGCGUAAGUCAUGAAGGCCCUAGGAUUGUAAAGCUCUUUCAAUAGGGACGAUAAUGACGGUACCCACAGAAAAAGCCCCGGCUAACUUCGUG